rnacentral:rRNA from 1 species
AGCUGGUUGGUGAGGUAACGGCUCACCAAGCCGACGAUCAGUAGCCGACCUGAGAGGGUGACCGGCCACAUUGGGACUGAGACACGGCCCAAACUCCUACGGGAGGCAGCAGUGGGGAAUAUUGCACAAUGGGGGAAACCCUGAUGCAGCGACGCCGCGUGAGUGAUGAAGUAUUUCGGUAUGUAAAGCUCUAUCAGCAGGGAAGAAAAUGACGGUACCUGACUAAGAAGCCCCGGCUAACUACGUGCCAGCAGCCGCGGUAAUACGUAGGGGGCAAGCGUUAUCCGGAUUUACUGGGUGUAGAGGGAGCGUAGACGGAACAGCAAGUCUGAUGUGAAAACCCGGGGCUCAACCCCGGGACUGCAUUGGAAACUGUUGAUCUAGAGUGUCGGAGAGGUAAGUGGAAUUCCUAGUGUAGCGGUGAAAUGCGUAGAUAUUAGGAGGAACACCAGUGGCGAAGGCGGCUUACUGGACGAUGACUGACGUUGAGGCUCGAAAGCGUGGGGAGCAAACAGGAUUAGAUACCCUGGUAGUCCACGCCGUAAACGAUGACUACUAGGUGUCGGGUGGCAAAGCCAUUCGGUGCCGCAGCAAACGCAAUAAGUAGUCCACCUGGGGAGUACGUUCGCAAGAAUGAAACUCAAAGGAAUUGACGGGGGCCCGCACAAGCGGAGGAACAUGUGGUUUAAUUCGAUGAUACGCGAGGAACCUUACCCGGGCUUGAAUUGCAGAGGAAGGAUUUGGAGACAAUGACGCCCUUCGGGGCCUCUGUGAAGGUGCUGCAUGGUUGUCGUCAGCUCGUGCCGUGAGGUGUCGGCUUAAGUGCCAUAACGAGCGCAACCCCUCUCCUUAGUUGCCAUCAGGUUAAGCUGGGCACUCUGGGGACACUGCCACCGUAAGGUGUGAGGAAGGUGGGGAUGACGUCAAAUCAGCACGGCCCUUACGUCCGGGGCUACACACGUGUUACAAUGGCAGGUACAGAGAGACGGUCCCUUGCAAAACGGAUCAAAUCCUUAAAGCCUGUCUCAGUUCGGACUGGGGUCUGCAACCCGACCCCACGAAGCUGGAUUCGCUAGUAAUCGCGCAUCAGCCAUGGCGCGGUGAAUACGUUCCCGGGCCUUGUACACACCGCCCGUCAAGCCAUGAAAGCCGGGGGCGCCUAAAGUCCGUGACCGUAAGGAGCGGCCUAGGGCGAAACUGGUAAUUGGGGCUAAGUCGUAACAAGGUAACCGUACUAGUA